UACGAAGGGGGCUAGCGUUGUUCGGAUUAACUGGGCGUAAAGGGUGCGUAGGCGGGUUUUUAAGUCAGGGGUGAAAUCCCGAGGCUCAACCUCGGAACUGCCUUUGAUACUGGAAAUCUUGAGUCUGGGAGAGGUGAGUGGAACUGCGAGUGUAGAGGUGAAAUUCGUAGAUAUUCGCGAAGAACACCGGUGGCGAAGGCGGCUCACUGGCCCGGAACUGACGCUGAGGCACGGAAAGCGUGGGGAGCAAACAGG
rnacentral:rRNA from 1 species